rnacentral:rRNA from 1 species
AUUGAACGCUGGCGGCAUGCCUUACACAUGCAAGUCGAACGGUAACAGGCCGCAAGGUGCUGACGAGUGGCGAACGGGUGAGUAAUGCAUCGGAACGUGCCCAGUCGUGGGGGAUAACUGCUCGAAAGAGCAGCUAAUACCGCAUACGACCUGAGGGUGAAAGCGGGGGACCGUAAGGCCCCGCGCGAUUGGAGCGGCCGAUGUCAGAUUAGCUAGUUGGUGGGGUAAAGGCCUACCAAGGCAACGAUCUGUAGUUGGUCUGAGAGGACGACCAGCCACACUGGGACUGAGACACGGCCCAGACUCCUACGGGAGGCAGCAGUGGGGAAUUUUGGACAAUGGGCGCAAGCCUGAUCCAGCAAUGCCGCGUGCAGGAAGAAGGCCUUCGGGUUGUAAACUGCUUUUGUCAGGGAAGAAAUCUUCUGGGCUAAUACCCCGGGAGGAUGACGGUACCUGAAGAAUAAGCACCGGCUAACUACGUGCCAGCCGCCGCAGUAACAC